rnacentral:tRNA from 1 species
GAGAUGAUAGUAUAUUUUUAGUAUGUUUUAUUUUCGUUAA